ACGUUAUCAGCAGCCGCGGUAAUUCCAGCUCCAAUAGCGUAUAUUAAAGUUGCUGCGGUUAAAAAGCUCGUAGUUGGAUCCCAGUUGCAGACGGGCGGUCCGCCUCAUGGCGGUUCACUGCCCCGUUCUCGACAUACCUCCGGUUAUAUUUGUCCCGCGAUGCUCUUUACCGGGUGUCGCGGGGGGCCGGUACGUUUACUUUGAAAAAAUUAGAGUGCUCAAAGCAGGCGAUGGCCAGAAUAAUGGUGCAUGGAAUAAUGGAAUAGGACCUCGGUUCUAUCUUGUUGGUUCUUCGGAACACGAGGUAAUGAUUAAUAGGGACGGACGGGGGCAUUCGUAUUGCGACGUUAGAGGUGAAAUUCUUGGAUCGUCGCAAGACGAACUACUGCGAAAGCAUUUGCCAAGAAUGUUUUCGUUAAUCAAGAACGAAAGUUAGAGGUUCGAAGGCGAUCAGAUACCGCCCUAGUUCUAACCAUAAACGAUGCCAACCAGCGAUCCGUCGGCGUUACUUCGAAUGACCCGACGAGCAGCUUCCGGGAAACCAAAGUUUCUGGGUUCCGGGGGAAGUAUGGUUGCAAAGCCGAAACUUAAAGGAAUUGAC
rnacentral:rRNA from 1 species